GACGAACGCUGGCGGCGUGCUUAACACAUGCAAGUCGAACGGAAAGGCCCUGCUUUUGUGGGGUGCUCGAGUGGCGAACGGGUGAGUAACACGUGAGUAACCUGCCCUUGACUUUGGGAUAACUUCAGGAAACUGGGGCUAAUACCGGAUAGGAGCUCCUGCUGCAUGGUGGGGGUUGGACAGUUUCGGCGGUUGGGGAUGGACUCGCGGCUUAUCAGCUUGUUGGUGGGGUAGUGGCUUACCAAGGCUGUGACGGGUAGCCGGCCUGAGAGGGUGACCGGCCACACUGGGACUGAGAUACGGCCCAGACUCCUACGGGAGGCAGCAGUGGGGAAUAUUGCACAAUGGGCGGAAGCCUGAUGCAGCAACGCCGCGUGCGGGAUGACGGCCUUCGGGUUGUAAACCGCUUUCGCCUGUGACGAAGCGUGAGUGACGGUAAUGGGUAAAGAAGCACCGGCUAACUACGUG
rnacentral:rRNA from 1 species